AGAUUAGUGUUUAAUCAUAUAAAUUAGUAUUUUAUUUUGCUAUUAUUCCAAGAAUAUGCUACAUCCAUAAAAAUUGGCCGAAUAGGCGCUGGACGAGCACCGUAAUUUUAAAUUAAAUUAAUCGUUUUAAAAUUCGCGUUGAGAAUCAGUUUUGUAUCACGCUGAUUGUGGCGUUGAGAUCAAAGAUAAAUGUUGCAUUCCUCCUAUGUAUGGUGUAGUCUAUGAUGCUUCCCUUUCCCUUCCAAUUUAGGGUGCAUUCAAUUUUACGUACGAUACAUCACUUAUCCUUAUUGUUCACUGAACAUUAAACAAGGAUAAAUGAUGCAUUAUGCGCGAAACGGACCCCUAAACAAUUGUCUUCUCCUCGACGCUUGCGGCCUAAUGCGGGAUUUACAAUGCAGUCACGAUGCUGCGAUGGACCAAUCGGAAGAAAAAAUUUUAUAUUCUCUUCUUUGAUUCGUCUGUUGCAGCAUCACAGCGUCGUAACGACUGCAUUGUAGACCCUGCGCAAAAGUCCGAAAAGUCUCGCCGAGACUGCGAGCGUGUUCAGAUGUGUUUUGCGAGGAUACGUCGGCAACCCCUGAAAAAUCUUUCUAAACAAAGCACAUCCGAACCAGCUCACGGUCGAUUGUUAUUGUAAAUUCGAUUUUACAUUCCAAGUUUGAUUUUGUAUUCUAAAGUUUCAAAUGUGCGACGGUUUUUGAUCGUCCUCAGUACCUCGCAAGGGAACGGAAACCAGCUGAGCCUGAAAUCGAUUGCAUGUUUUUUUUGGAGCACGUGGUUGCCAUGUCUCGAGUAAAACAGAAUCUUGAAAUUAAAUAAAGAUGCUUGAUUUUCCAGUUGCUUUCCAAUACUCUCGAGUGCUCGUCAUAUGCCUGGCAAACGAAUGUGAUUAUCAUUCGUAUACGUCACCUAUAGACCCAAUGAGGUUUCUACAAUAAGCUAUUAGUCAGUGUCACAAGUCGUAAGCCGUAAAAAUUGAUCAAUCACAGUCGAAUAUUCUCUUCACAUUCGCCAUCGACUAAUAGCUUAUUGUAGAAAGUUCAUAAGAGUUAUUCUGUGAUUCUCGUUGAAGAUUACGAAUUUAAAAAUACUUAUAUACGGUGUACAGGUUGUAUGAGUUGUGACCUUCUAACUAUGUGAUUUUUUAUUAUAAGGAAAAGUUUCAAUAAAAAUAUUACGAACUUUUAAA